rnacentral:tRNA from 1 species
ACCACCGUAGCUCAAAGGAUAGAGCGUCCCGCGCCACCUACUGCUGCAACCAGGGGAGGCACUGAGGGAAGAUGCAGGUUCGAGUCCUGCCGGUGGUA